AACUGCCCGAUGGAGGGGGAUAACUACUGGAAACGGUAGCUAAUACCGCAUAACGUCGCAAGACCAAAGAGGGGGACCUUCGGGCCUCUUGCCAUCGGAUGUGCCCAGAUGGGAUUAGCUAGUAGGUGGGGUAACGGCUCACCUAGGCGACGAUCCCUAGCUGGUCUGAGAGGAUGACCAGCCACACUGGAACUGAGACACGGUCCAGACUCCUACGGGAGGCAGCAGUGGGGAAUAUUGCACAAUGGGCGCAAGCCUGAUGCAGCCAUGCCGCGUGUAUGAAGAAGGCCUUCGGGUUGUAAAGUACUUUCAGCGGGGAGGAAGGGAGUAAAGUUAAUACCUUUGCUCAUUGACGUUACCCGCAGAAGAAGCACCGGCUAACUCCGUGCCAGCAGCCGCGGUAAUACGGAGGGUGCAAGCGUUAAUCGGAAUUACUGGGCGUAAAGCGCACGCAGGCGGUUUGUUAAGUCAGAUGUGAAAUCCCCGGGCUCAACCUGGGAACUGCAUCUGAUACUGGCAAGCUUGAGUCUCGUAGAGGGGGGUAGAAUUCCAGGUGUAGCGGUGAAAUGCGUAGAGAUCUGGAGGAAUACCGGUGGCGAAGGCGGCCCCCUGGACGAAGACUGACGCUCAGGUGCGAAAGCGUGGGGAGCAACAGGAUUAGAUACCCUGGUAGUCACGCCGUAACGAUGUCGACUUGGAGGUGUGCCCUUGAGCGUGGCU
rnacentral:rRNA from 1 species